rnacentral:rRNA from 1 species
UGCAAGUCGAGGGGUAUAGUUCUUCGGAACUAGAGACCGGCGCACGGGUGCGUAACGCGUAUGCAAUCUACCUUUUACAGAGGGAUAGCCCAGAGAAAUUUGGAUUAAUACCUCAUAGCAUAGCAAUCUCGCAUGAGAUCACUAUUAAAGUCACAACGGUAAAAGAUGAGCAUGCGUCCCAUUAGCUAGUUGGUAAGGUAACGGCUUACCAAGGCUACGAUGGGUAGGGGUCCUGAGAGGGAGAUCCCCCACACUGGUACUGAGACACGGACCAGACUCCUACGGGAGGCAGCAGUGAGGAAUAUUGGACAAUGGGCGCAAGCCUGAUCCAGCCAUGCCGCGUGCAGGAUGACGGUCCUAUGGAUUGUAAACUGCUUUUAUACGAGAAGAAACACUCCAACGUGUUGGAGCUUGACGGUAUCGUAAGAAUAAGGAUCGGCUAACUCCGUGCCAGCAGCCGCGGUAAUACGGAGGAUCCAAGCGUUAUCCGGAAUCAUUGGGUUUAAAGGGUCCGUAGGCGGUUUAGUAAGUCAGUGGUGAAAGCCCAUCGCUCAACGGUGGAACGGCCAUUGAUACUGCUAAACUUGAAUUAUUAGGAAGUAACUAGAAUAUGUAGUGUAGCGGUGAAAUGCUUAAAGAUUACAUGGAAUACCAAUUGCGAAGGCAGGUUACUACUAAUGGAUUGACGCUGAUGGACGA